rnacentral:rRNA from 1 species
GACGAACGCUGGCGGCGUGCUUAACACAUGCAAGUCGAACGGUAAAGCCCUUCGGGGUACACGAGUGGCGAACGGGUGAGUAACACGUGGGUGAUCUGCCCUGCACUUCGGGAUAAGCCUGGGAAACUGGGUCUAAUACCGGAUAGGACCACUGCCUGCAGGGGUGGUGGUGGAAAGCUUUUGCGGUGUGGGAUGGGCCCGCGGCCUAUCAGCUUGUUGGUGGGGUGAUGGCCUACCAAGGCGACGACGGGUAGCCGGCCUGAGAGGGUGACCGGCCACACUGGGACUGAGGUACGGCCCAGACUCCUACGGGAGGCAGCAGUGGGGAAUAUUGCACAAUGGGGGCAAGCCUGAUGCAGCGACGCCGCGUGAGGGAUGACGGCCUUCGGGUUGUAAACCUCUUUCAGCACCGACGAAGCGCAAGUGACGGUAGGUGCAGAAGAAGGACCGGCCAACUACGUGCCAGCAGCCGCGGUAA